AGGUUGACGGUUCUCCGAGCUUCUUACCCUACGUCGAGACAGAUAAGGGUUUUUAGCCGUGGCAAUAACGCCACCGGGGUGAGAAAAGAAAUGAUCUCACCUCCCCUUACUUGGAAAGGUGAUCAUGUCCCAACUAC
rnacentral:ncRNA from 17 species